UUUAACACUUAUUUGGAUAUUACAUGAUUCCAUGUGUUAUUUCAUAAUUUUGAUGUCUUCACUAUUAUAACAAUUGUUUUUCUCUCCAAGAUGGCGUAGCAGUGUGUUUGUCUUUGUCUUAUUACGUGUAAUUAGCUGGGGAGGGUUUUGUAUAUAUUUUAAUCUCACUUUCUAUCUAUGAACUAAAUAUACUUUCCUGCAACACGCAUCACCCAAUGUGAUACGGAUAUUAUAUUUUUAUUCCUUAUAACUGGAACCUCCAUCAGGAGCUAGCCAGCUAACUAGCUACUAGCUAUUAGUCUUUGUUAACCAUGGCUAGCGGUCUUCAUCUUUAGCUCGGACACUAGCCAGCUUUAGCUCGGACAAUACCUGCCAGUCUGCACAGCGCGAUAUCAACCCAGAGCAUAUCGGACUGCUUCUCUCUACCACAUCACCUGAUUCCUGCCGCUCUGGACCAUUACACCGUAUCAUCGCAGCUAGCUAGCUGCAACCUUGUGGCUACUGUUAGCUAACGCCUCUGUCCCGAAGCAAGCACCAGUUAGCCUUGAGCUAGCCUCGAGCUAGUAGCAGCUAAUACCAGCUAAUUCUAUGGCUUCAAUACCUCUUUUGCCAACUGGCCUGGACCCUUUAUUGUCGACACAGAGCCCCGCCGAUCCAUCACGACUGGUCUGCCGAUGUAAUCACCCGAUGUGGUCUCAACAGGCUUUUCCAUUGCGAUGUCGCCGAAGACCCAUCUGCUAGCCCUGGCCCGCUAGCUUUCUGAACGCCGUGUCUCCCACUCGCCUAGCGUAGUAGUGACUACCGAACGGCUCCCUGACUCACCUAUUGCUGCUCAUUGGACCCUAUGAUAACUCAGCUACACAGCUGAUGCCCCCUGGACUGUUUCAAUAACACGGUACCUCAUUUUGUGUAUCUGUCAGCCCCAGCCUCGAACUCAGGUCCUGUAUGUACCUAACUGACCCUCGCUGCCCAUUCAUCUCCAUUUACCUGUUGUUGUCUGAGUUCUCCCGAUCAACACCUGUGAAUGCUUUAUGCCUCUCUCUAAUGUCAAUAUGCGUUGUCUACUGCUUUCUCGGCUAGUUCUUAUUGUUUUAUUUGACUGUAGAGCCCUCAGUCCCACUCAACUUACCUUAGAUAGCUCUUUUGUCCCACUCCCAGCACAUGCGGAGACCUCACCUGGCUUAACUGGUGCCUCAAGAGAUGCAACCUCUCUCACCGUCACUCAACGCCUAGGUUUACCUCCACUGUUCUCACAUCCUACCAUACCCAGGACCUGUAGCCCCCAGUACCACACCUAUUUCCCAGGUGCUAUCGUUUGUUGACUCCUGUAACCGUAAAAGCCUUGGUUUCAUGCAUGUUAACAUCAGAAGCCUCCUCCCUAAGUUUGUUUUAUUCACUGCUUUAGCACACUCCGCCAACCCUGAUGUCCUAGCCGUGUCUGAAUCAUGGCUUAAAAAGGCCACCAAAAAUUCAGAAAUGUCCAUCCCCAACUACAAAUUUCCGCCAAGAUAGAACUGCCAAAGGGGUCGGAGUUGUAAUCUACUGCAGAGAUAGCCUGCAGAGUUCUGUCAAGCUAUCCAGGUCUAUGCCCAAGCAGUUCAAGCUUCUACUUUUAAAAAUCCACCUUUCCAGAAAUAAAUCUCUCACUGUUGCCGCUUGUUAUAGACCCCCGUCAGCCCCCAGCUGUGCCCUGGACACCAUAUGUGAAUUGAUUGCCCCCCAUUUAUCUUCAGAGUUGGUACUGUUAGGUGACCUAAACGGGGAUAUGCUUAACACCCCGGCCGUCCUACAAUCUAAGCUAGAUGACCUCAAUCUCACACAAAUUAUCAAGGAACCUACCAGGUACAACCCUAAAUCCAUAAACACGGCACCCUCAUAGAUAUCAUCCUGACCAACCUGCCCUCUAAUUACACCUCUGCUGUCUUCAACCCGGAUCUCAGCAAUCACUGCCUCAUUGCAUGGGUCCGUUAUGGGUCCGCGGUCAAACAACCACCCCUCAUAACUGUCAAACGCUCCCAAAAACACUUCAGCGAGCAGGCCUUUCUAAUCGACCUGGCCCGGGUAUCCUGGAAGGAUAUUGACCUCAUCCCGUCAUUAGAGGAUGCCUGGUUGCUCUUUAAAGUGCUUUCCUCACCAUCUUAAAUAAGCAUGCCCCAUUCAAAAAAUGUAGAACUAAGAACAGAUAUAGCCCUUGGUUCAGACUUGACUGCCCUUGACCAGCACAAAAACAUCCUGUGGCAUACUGCAUUAGCAUCGAAUUGCCCCCCGAUAUGCAACUUUUCAGGGAAUUUAGGAACCAAUAUACACAGUCAGUAAGGAAAGCAAAGGCUGGCUUUUUCAAGCAUAAAUUUGCAUCCUGUAGCACAAAUUCCAAAAAGUUUUGGGACACUGUAAAGUCCAUGGAGAAUAAGAGCACCUCCUCCCAGCUGCCCACUGCACUGAGGCUAGGAAACACUGUCAACACCGAUAAAUCUACGAUAAUCAAACAUCUCAAUUAGCAUGUUUCUACGGCUGGCCAUGCUUUCCACCUGGCUACCCCUACCCCAGCCAUCAGCUCUGCACCCCCUGCAGCAACUUGCCCAAGCCACCCCGCUUCUCCUUCACCCAAAUCUAGAUAGCUGAUGUUCUGAAAGAGCUGCAAAAUCUGGACCCCUACAAAUCAUCUGGGCUAGACAAUCUGGACCCUCUCUUUCCAAAAUUAUCCACCGCAAUUUUUGCAACCCCAAUUACUAGCCUGUUCAACCUCUCUUUCAUAUCGUCUGAGAUCCCUAAUGAUUGGAAAGCUGCCGCGGUCAUCCCCCUCUCCAAAGGGGGUGACAAUCUAGACCCAAACUGUUACAGACCUAUAUCUAUCCUGCCCUGCCUUUCUAAAGUCUUCGAAAGCCAAGUUAACAAACAGAUCACCGACCAUUUCGAAUCCCACCAUACCUUCUCCACUAUGCAAUCUGGGUUCCGAGCUGGUCAUGGGUGCACCUCAGCCACGCUCAAGGUCCUAAACGAUAUCAUAUCCGCCAUCGAUAAAAGAUAGUACUGUGCAGCCGUCUUCAUCGACCUGGCCAAGGCUUUUGACUCUGUCAAUCAUCGCAUUCUUAUCGGCAGACUCAACAGCCUUGGUUUCUCAAAUGAUUGCCUCGCCUGGUUCACCAACUUCUUCUCAGAUAGAGUUCAGUGUCAAAUCGGAGGGCCUGUUGCCCGGACCUCUGGCAGUCUCUAUGGGGGUGCCACAGGGUUCAAUUAUUUUGCAGACUCUUUUCUCUGUAUAUAUCAAUGAUGUCGCUCUUGCUGCUGGUGACUCUCUGAUCCACCUCUACACAGACGACACCAUUCUGUAUACUUCUGGCCCUUCUUUGGACACUGUGUUAACAAACCUCCAGACGAGCAUCAAUGCCAUACAACACUCCUUCCCUGGCCUCCAUUUGCUCUUAAAUGGUAUUUAAACUAAAUGCAUGCUCUUCAACCGAUCGCUGCCCACACCCUCCCGCCCGACUAGCAUCGUAACUCUGGAUGGUUCUGACUUAGAAUAUGUGGACAACUACAAAUACCUACGUGUCUGGCUAGAAUGUAAACUCUCCUUCCAGACUCACAAUAGGCAUCUCCAAUCCAAAAUUCAAUCUAGAAUCAGCUUCCUAUUUCGCAACAAAGCCUCCUUCACUCAUGCUGCUAAACAUACCCUCGUAAAACUGACUAUCCUACCGAUCCUUGACUUUGGCGAUGUCAUUUACAAAAUAGCCUCUAACACUCCUCAGCAAAUUGGAUGUAGUCUAUCACAGUGCCGUCCGUUUUGUCACCAAAGCCCCAUAUAUUACCUACUACUGCGACCUGUAUGCUCUCGUUGGCUGGCCCUCGCUUCAUAUUCGUCGCCAAACCCACUGGCUCCAGGUCAUCUAUAAGUCUUUGCUAGGUAAAGCCCCGCCUUAUCUCAGCUCACUGGUCACCAUAGCAACACCUACCCGUAGCAAGCGCAACAGCAGGUAUAUUUCACUGGUCACCCCCAAAGCCAACUCCUCAUUUGGCUGCCUUUCCUUCCAGUUCUCUGCUGCCAAUGACUGGAAUGAAUUUUAAUCCCUGAAGCUGUAGACUUAUAUCACCCUCACUAACUUUAAAGCAUCAGCUGUCAGAGCAGCUUACCGAUCAAUGCACCUGUACACAGCCCAUCUGUAAAUAGCCCACCCAACUAUCUUAUCGCCAUAUUGUUAUUUAUUUUUGCUCUUUUUUUCACCCCAGUAUCUCUACUUGCACAUCAUGAUCUGCACAUCUAUCACUUCAGUGUUAAUGCUAAAUUGUAAUAAUUUCGCCAAUUUGGCCUAUUUAUUGCCUUACCUCCCAAUCUUACUACAUUUACACACACUGUAUAGAGAUUUUUCUAUUGAGAUAUUAACUGUAUGUUUGUUUAUCCCAUGUGUAACUCUGUGUUGUUGUUUUUGUCGCACUGCUUUGCUUUAUCUUGGCCAGGACGCAGUUCUAAAUGAGAACUUGUUCUCCACUGGCCUACCUGGUUAAAUAAAGGUGAAAUAAAAUAAAAUAAAAAAUAAAACAAUUCAGAAAAUAAUUGUAAAAAUAAAGAAAAACCCUUGAAUGAGUAGGUGUGUCCAAACGUUGACUGGUGCUGUAUAUAAAAUGGGUGUUUAAUACCAGUCCUGUAAAGGAUGGGUCACACUACCCAGCAUCACAUUUUGUUCAUUAAUUAAUUAAUUAAUUUGUUCAUUCGUUCAUUUUUAUCAUUCAUUCAUUCAUUUAUUUAUUCAUAUUCACACGUGUGUUUUUAUGGUCUUACGUGUGUUUGUAUGUUUCAGGUGCUGAGAGGACCGCUGUGACCGUGUUGUGAUAUUGACCUCUUUGUCCUCUUCAGAUCUUUUUGCGGUCUGGGCUUGCUGUUAACACACCUCAACCCAGGAAGCCCUUACCCCAAAAAGCAUCUGCAGUCGACCUUAGCAUCACAAGCUAUUCUCUACAAUGUUAUGGAACGCAAAGGCGCAGACUCCCAUCCAGAGCAACCCACAGGAGCAACCAGGGUUCACCGCCCCGCCCAAGGGCACAUCGACAGAUCCCCCACCCAGUCGACUUGGGGACCUGAACCAGUGACCUCUCCGCCAAUGGGCCAAUGCUCCCAACCGCCAGGCCACCCACUGCCCCCAAUCAUCCAAGAUCACCCCACAGUCCCCCCUGAAAAACCUCCCCCUCCAAGCCACCAUCCCCUUCCAACCCAACCAAAGCAACUACCCACCUGAUGUGCCAGGUCCACCCACUGGGGAGCCAAGCAUAGUCAAUCAGAAGGAUUUCUUCACCCACAAAAGGACUUUAUUACAAACAGAAAUACUCCUCAGCAUCCCCCUCCCCCUCCUCAGACGAUCCCACAGGUGAAGAAGUCAGAUGUGGAGGUCCUGGGCUGGAUUGCUUACACGUGGUCUGCGUUGUGAGGCCGGUUGGAUGUAUUGCCAAAUUCUCUAAAGAGAAAUUAACAUUCAAUUCUCUGGCAACAGCUCUGUUGGACAUUCCUCCAGUUAGUAUGCUAAUUGCACACUCCCUCAAAACUUAAGACAUGUUAGGCAUUGUGUUGUGUGACAAAACUGUACAUGUUAGUGGCCUUUUAUUGUCCUCAACACAAGGUGCACCUGUGUAAUGAUCAUGCUGUUUAAUCAGCUUCUUGAUAUGCCACACAUGUCAGGUGGAUGGAUUACCUUGGCAAAGGAGAAAUGCUCACUAACAGGGAUGUAAACAAAUCUGUGCACAUAAUUUGAGAGAAAUACGCUUUUUUUUCGUAUGGAAAAUGUCUGGGAUCUUUUAUUUCAGCUCAUGCAAAAGGGGGCCAACACUUUGCAUAUUGCGUUUAUAUUUUUGUUCAGUAGAAAAACAAAAGACAUCAAUGACAAUAAAAAUGUAAACAGCAA